rnacentral:rRNA from 1 species
UACGUAGGAUCCAAGCGUUGUCCGGAUUUACUGGGUGUAAAGGGCGCGCAGGCGGACUUAUAAGUCAGUGGUGAAAUCUCACAGCUUAACUGUGAAACUGCCUUUGAUACUGUAGGUCUUGAAUUAGGGAGAGAUUCGUGGAAUUCCGAGUGUAGCAGUGAAAUGUGUAGAUAUUCGGAAGAACACCAGAGGCGAAGGCAGCGAAUUGGCCCUAUAUUGACGCUCAGGCACGAAAGCAUGGGGAUCAAACAGG